UCGUAGCGAUGGACGCAGCCUGAUCAGCCAUGCCGCGUGAGUGAUGAAGGCCUUCGGGUUGUAAAGCUCUUUUACCCGGGAAGAAAAUGACGGUACCCGUCGAAUAAGCCCCGGCUAACUCCGUGCCACCCCCCGCGGUAAUGUGCCAGCAGCCGCGGUAAUA
rnacentral:rRNA from 1 species